GAACUGAACGGACAGGCCGAUUCUGAUGCCGAUCGUUAGAGGGAUGGAUGAAAGUGCUAUGGACGGACCCGAAGUUGCUCACCAUGGACCAAGAUAGGGACCUUCGGUAAGCGGUAUUUUUUCUCUAAUGCUGAACUGUCCCGAGUAGUGGGAAAAGCCCAGAUACGAAUAUGUUGAGUAGCUGGCGGCGAAUUGUUGAGCCCUUAUGCAGCGUCCCGAGAAAACUAGGUAGAUCCAGGCGACCAGAGGGAGUAAUCUUCUAUUCUUUUAUUAGGAUUAGGAUAGGCCCCUUCUGGAGAAGUAGUUCGCCCACUUCCACCAGUUCUGACUUCCGUAGGAAGUGUAGCCAUACUUUCUUUCUUGAAAAUAGACCCCCGUUGUCAGCCACGGGUUGUUUGAGAUCCAUUGCUGGGCAUGUGAACUUCUAAAACGGGCUUCUUCCUAGGAUUGACUGGGUCAUUCGGUCACUGCCUCAAAUGGGUCCCUCCCUCCGCUUUUCCAGUACUAUAACUAUAUAGUAGGACUAAACCUAUACUAUAGUAGGAUAAAUAGUAGGUUUCCCUUUCUUUAGUGGUGGCCAUGUCUCUUGAAUAUAUAGGACUUGGAUUUAUUGGAUAUAAUAGAGAGGUUCUCUCGAGAAAAUGAAAAUAACAUAUAGCUCCCAUAAAAGCCUAUCAAAAGAAGGAAAACCACCCCUUUAGUAAGGUCUAAGCUUUCCAUCCGUUCUGCGAGAGUAGGCACCAAAAGCUGUCCUAUCAUUUAUUGGAGUGGAAGGCGCUGCUUCCCAUCCUCAUUCCGAAACAAAGAGAGUAAAGUAAGGCCACUUGUGACGUAUCUUAUUGGUCCAACCCCUACUAACAGAGGAAAGCACAAAGGCAGCUUGCAGCAGGUGUUAUAAGGUGUAGUUUUUAUAUCGAACAGAGUUUUCCUCAGAUGGAUAAUGCGUUUCACUAUGAAUGGUAACAUAUGAAUGGACCCGGUCCAGUCAACAGUUCUCAGCAACACAAAACGAGGGUUAGGCGCAUGCAAUACCCUUGAAUCCUUGAAGUUUCGCCUUUAGAUAACAAUCAGUAACUAGGAAGAAGCGGGGUAGAGCGGCUUGGCAGCUCCAAAGAAAGAAGACAGAAUUCGGGAAAGAUGGGUAGAAGAUUCUAUGAACCGUAUGAGCACGUCCUCUUGAAACCAGGACGGUAGCAUUCAUUAUCCAACAUGGAUAGAAUUCCCCCAUUAGAACAACAAAAGAAGAUAGGACAGAACCAAUGCGUCUUGGUAUUUCAUAGAAGCAAUGCUGCAGAAAAAGAAUCUAUCUUUUAAAAGUGGAAGUUCGGUUCCUAUCUCGAGUGAGUAGAGGGGAAGACGUGCCAAUUGUUAGGAAAGCUGAUACUUCGGACCUUCUUUCAAGGAAAAACUAAAAAUGGUUAGCAUGAUAUAACCGAGGUACAGAACCAUACCAUACCUUACGGAUGCAACGCACAAAUACCACUGCAAGCAUAGCUCAAUGUGAUACCAAUCACUGACCAAUGCAUAAAGGAUUAUUCUUUAGCUGCAAAGGACAUGAACUACUUGUAUGGAUGAAAGACCUCUGACCCUAUCCUAUGGCCCUCUCUCUAUACAACUUCUUGACCCGAUCCCAAGACCUCUAGCUGAGACUCCGCUAAGGAAGAAAAUGUCCCGUAGGACGCCGGUUAGUGCGCUGUUUCCACCUAAAAUAAAAAAGAAGAAUGGGUUAGUGUUCAAACUCUAGCUUUGCCUAAUAACUAGCUCGACUCUCUAACUCGAGAUCGCCUGUGUAGCUUCAAUCGACGAAUCGGAGAUGAGAUUGAUGCGCUCGCAUACAAGAAUUUAUUAAUAUAAGUGAGAUGUUCCUUCUCGACGGCGGGACCCUCUUUCGCCGUGACGAGUUUCUUCCACUCUAUCUUCGAAAAGGUAGGCUGGAGAAAGCUAGCUAUAGAGAUCAUCGAGGCAGCUUAUACCAGAGUGAGAGCUAAUGUUCUUCUCGCUGUUCCCAAGAGUGGUGGCCUGGUUGAGUAACGAGCCGACUAGGAGGUGCUCCAAAAGCACUAAAUCCGACCUGGGGAAAAGGAUGUUCACUAUUUGCUUAACACAACCCCCGCAAGCAUAGCGCCUUGGAAAACCUCGCCUGGCAUGCGCGCGGUUUCUGACUCAGCCUCCUGGGCAUGAACGUCAAGCUCGUGAGCGGACCUCGCCUCCAUCUAUAUCAACUAACUUCGAGGGCAGGUGGGAGUUGACAGCUUCCCGGCGUAAGGGCCUUCCCCCAAGGCCUAGCGCUCUCAGCCGAUAGUAAGGUAAGGGAUUCUAGUUGCGCUAUUACACAGAGUGAGUCUUCCUUCUACUCACUAGUCCUAGUUCGCAUCCGGGUAAGUACCUCGCGAUACUAGGCUCUGGCUGGUCUCCCUAGCCAACGGUCUCUAUCCUCUUAUUCUUAUUUUUAUUCUUCUUUUCUCUUUUUUCGACUCCGCGUCUUCGCCUCCGGGUUGAA
rnacentral:lncRNA from 1 species